AGAGGGGGGUGGGAAUUUUGGAGGUGGCUACAGACCAACCGAGCUUACAAAAGGGAGACCCCUUCCCUAAAGUUCAAUCAGUGUGAGUUUAGAAAGCGAAGAAGUUCCAUGGGUGAACAGGUCAGAGGGUCAGUGGUUCAGUGGCUUAGUUGUUUAGUGGUUCUGUGCUUCAGUGCUUCAGUGCUUCAGUAAUUCAGUGCUUCAGUGUUUCAGUGGUAGUGAUUUAGUGGUACACUGCAGUCAGCAACCGGAAUUCCAACAUUUGUAGUAACUCAAUUUGGAUUAAGCUCCUAAUAUGUCAUUACUUUGCAUCCAGAAUCGCAUCAAAAUACAUUGAUUGAAU